AGCGAACGCUGGCGGCAGGCUUAACACAUGCAAGUCGAACGGGCGUAGCAAUACGUCAGUGGCAGACGGGUGAGUAACGCGUGGGAACAUACCUCUUGGUUCGGAACAACACAGGGAAACUUGUGCUAAUACCGGAUAAGCCCUUACGGGGAAAGAUUUAUCGCCGAGAGAUUGGCCCGCGUCUGAUUAGCUAGUUGGUAGGGUAAUGGCCUACCAAGGCGACGAUCAGUAGCUGGUCUGAGAGGAUGAUCAGCCACAUUGGGACUGAGACACGGCCCAAACUCCUACGGGAGGCAGCAGUGGGGAAUAUUGGACAAUGGGCGCAAGCCUGAUCCAGCCAUGCCGCGUGAGUGAUGAAGGUCCUAGGGUUGUAAGACUCUUUUGUACGGGAAGAUAAUGACGGUACCGUAAGAUAAGCCCGGCUAACUUCGUGCCAGCAGCCGCGGU
rnacentral:rRNA from 1 species